rnacentral:rRNA from 1 species
GACGAACGCUGGCGGCGUGCUUAACACAUGCAAGUCGAACGGAAAGGCCCUGCUUGCAGGGUACUCGAGUGGCGAACGGGUGAGUAACACGUGGGUGAUCUGCCCUGCACUUCGGGAUAAGCCUGGGAAACUGGGUCUAAUACCGGAUAGGAGCCAUUUUUAGUGUGAUGGUUGGAAAGUUUUUUCGGUGUAGGAUGAGCUCGCGGCCUAUCAGCUUGUUGGUGGGGUAAUGGCCUACCAAGGCGGCGACGGGUAGCCGGCCUGAGAGGGUGGACGGCCACAUUGGGACUGAGAUACGGCCCAGACUCCUACGGGAGGCAGCAGUGGGGAAUAUUGUACAAUGGGCGCAAGCCUGAUGCAGCGACGCCGCGUGGGGGAUGACGGCCUUCGGGUUGUAAACUCCUUUCGCUAGGGACGAAGCUUUUUGUGACGGUACCUAGAUAAGAAGCACCGGCUAACUACGUG